CCUACGGGAGGCAGCAGUGGGGAAUCUUGCGCAAUGGGCGAAAGCCUGACGCAGCCAUGCCGCGUGAAUGAUGAAGGUCUUAGGAUUGUAAAAUUCUUUCACCGAGGACGAUAAUGACGGUACUCGGAGAAGAAGCCCCGGCUAACUUCGUGCCAGCAGCCGCGGUAAUACGAAGGGGGCUAGCGUUGCUCGGAAUUACUGGGCGUAAAGGGAGCGUAGGCGGAUAGUUUAGUCAGAGGUGAAAGCCCAGGGCUCAACCUUGGAAUUGCCUUUGAUACUGGCUAUCUUGAGUACGGAAGAGGUAUGUGGAACUCCGAGUGUAGAGGUGAAAUUCGUAGAUAUUCGGAAGAACACCAGUGGCGAAGGCGACAUACUGGUCCGUUACUGACGCUGAGGCUCGAAAGCGUGGGGAGCAAACAGGAUUAGAUACCCUGGUAGUCCACGCUGUAAACGAUGAGUGCUAGUUGUCGGCAUGCAUGCAUGUCGGUGACGCAGCUAACGCAUUAAGCACUCCGCCUGGGGAGUACGGUCGCAAGNUUAAAACUCAAAGGAAUUGACGG
rnacentral:rRNA from 1 species